rnacentral:lncRNA from 1 species
CAUUACAGAUUCCACAUUGCAGCUAAUCUUCAUUAAACUACCACGUGGUGAAUUUUAAUGUAGUAUCCAAGAAGCAUACUGACACCUUCUCCAUUGUCCUACUAUGUAUCUGUGUAAGGCCAGAUUUUCUUCAUAUACAUUAACCAAAGCAACAUAUGGCAACAGACUGAAUGAAGAGGCAGGUUUCCUGGGACUCUGUUGCAUCAAAUUCUACUGCUAGGCAUCAAUUUUAAAGUAUUUCAUCAGUUGGACCUACCAAAUAUCAAGUCAGGAUUUGGCCAUCUCUGCUCUUGCCAUUCCACCUCUCACGACUCUAUCCUCAAGACCUGGGCUUGGCUGGGAACAAGAGAUUUAAAUCAGACUCUUUUAGGUUUUCCUAAUAAGACUGCUGCAAAUAAGUUGGAUGAUUGUUCGUAACCUCAAGAGAUAUUCUUCAAAUGUGCAGGAUUGAGCCCUAGCUGAAGGCCUCAUCCUUCCAUGCCCUUUGCUUGUCCACCCAUCAACAAGCCAGGAUGAGGAGAAGCAAAGACAGCAGCAUUUACCCACAGAACCCUUUGUUGGCAGAAGCAAAAAUUGAUAGUGGAACACAUGAGGGCAGUUCCACAAGAUCCGUCCAUGAAGAGUCGGAUUUAUCAAGAAAAAUAUUAUUCUUUCGUGAACAAGAAAGAAAACAAGACAAUUUAAAAACAUCUAGAUUAAAGAUGAGCAUGUCAAUUUCAGGUGUAAGUGGCCUCGCAGGAAUGAAAGGCUGUGCUGUCUGUAUACCACUGCACUGUUGCCUCCCUGGAGAACUUUAUGCCUUACCCUGGAAGCACCCUAUCUUCAAAGCAGGGGUGUUUGAAAAUUCAUUCCCAUAACAGUGUGGAGCACAUCGAGAAAGACUGUACUGAAACUUCCAGAUAGAACUUAUGAGGACCCAGACCCAGCAGUGGCUGUGAGGAUGAAGAGGCAAUGGGAUCUGGGACCUCAGAUAGAUCCAAGAAAUAUGCAGCAGUGGGGAUCAACGGCCUUGUAUAGAUCCUUGAUGUUAGAAGGAAAAGUGAGAUGAAUGGGAAAAGAAAACAGUCUUUCAUCAAUUAUGGUUAAGGAUCCCCAAACUGAAACACAUGUGGCUAAACGCCAUUCAUAUCACCAGCCCACACCAGUCUGGUGGUGGGGGAGAGAAGGAAAAAGAGGAGAUAAAUGGCCUACAUGAUUGAUUUCAACUAAGACCCAAAUCUUGGAGAACAAUUAUUGGAUUUACCACUGUUUGUUUUUGCAACAUUUCGGAAAUCGG